ensembl:lncRNA
GUGCAUUGUGGAAUUUGUUUUUUUAUGUCUCAUCAAUCUGACCCUAUUUAGUGUGUGUGUGUGAGAGAGAGAGAGAGAGAGCGAGCGCGCAAGAGCGAGCGAGCGAGAGUGCGAACCCCCUGGGUAUAAUCCAGCAGAUGUCACUACAUCCACAGCUACAAUGGAGGAGGCCAGUUGACCCUUCGACCACAUUGUACCCUCAGGUGACCUGAGCUGAUAAAUCAUCUUUUAUAAAAGGUGAGAAUAUUAUUGAUAUGAUGAAGAUCAUGAUUAGGAAAUGGCUACGGUUAGAAUGUUGGUAGAGGAGUGUAAUCCUACAUUUUGAUUUACUUUGACAUUAUACAUAUGUUUCUUUCUGGAUUAUAAUUCAUCAUGAACAAAAUUAACAAUGUACUUGACUCUCUUGAUGAUUUACGUUAAUGAAUAAUUAAUCUAAUAUUACAGACGAUUUCCCUGGAAAUACUUGAGAAUAGUCCCCCCCCCCCCCCCCAUGGGCUCUAUAUCUGUGUCUUCAUUCUUGAUGAAGUUUUCAUUUGGCAUCUGCUUAUAGUUCAAAUGAUGCGGAAUGAGAGGCAGAAUGCUGUAUACCUCAAUAAAGGCAGUGCCCACGGUGCGAGGAGAUCGAUUUCGGCCCUGCGUGGAGCCCUGACCACACAGCCAUACUGAUAAAGUGGAAUUGCACCGGUGUGGAUGGAGGAGUACAGGGAAGAGUUUCUGCUGGACUGGCCAGAUAAAGGCUAGGACGUGAAGUAGGUAGGGCGAAGUGGUGGAAAACAGCCUCAACGGGUGAGGCAUAUAGGUAGGUGUCUGUAAAUCUCACAACUGUUGUAUUUGUUGAUAUUUUCAAGUAGUGUGUUGCUUCCUGACAACACAAUAUACUGAAUGGUUG